GAUGAACGCUGGCGGCGUGCCUAAUACAUGCAAGUCGAGCGAACAGAUAAGGAGCUUGCUCCUUUGAAGUUAGCGGCGGACGGGUGAGUAACACGUGGGUAACCUACCUAUAAGACUGGGAUAACUUCGGGAAACCGGAGCUAAUACCGGAUAACAUUUAGAACCGCAUGGUUCUAAAGUGAAAGAUGGUUUUGCUAUCACUUAUAGAUGGACCCGCGCCGUAUUAGCUAGUUGGUAAGGUAACGGCUUACCAAGGCGACGAUCCGUAGCCGACCUGAGAGGGUGAUCGGCCACACUGGAACUGAGACACGGUCCAGACUCCUACGGGAGGCAGCAGUAGGGAAUCUUCCGCAAUGGGCGAAAGCCUGACGGAGCAACGCCGCGUGAGUGAUGAAGGGUUUCGGAUCGUAAAACUCUGUUAUUAGGGAAGAACAAAUGUGUAAGUAACUGUGCACAUCUUGACGGUACCUAAUCAGAAAGCCACGGCUAACUACGUG
rnacentral:rRNA from 1 species